rnacentral:rRNA from 1 species
AGGGUUUGAUUAUGGCUCAGGAUGAACGCUGGCGGCGUGCCUAAUACAUGCAAGUAGAACGCUGAAGCUUGGUGCUUGCACCGAGCGGAUGAGUUGCGAACGGGUGAGUAACGCGUAGGUAACCUGCCUGGUAGCGGGGGAUAACUAUUGGAAACGAUAGCUAAUACCGCAUAACAGUAGAUAUUGCAUGAUAUCUGCUUGAAAGGUGCAAUUGCAUCACUACCAGAUGGACCUGCGUUGUAUUAGCUAGUUGGUGAGGUAACGGCUCACCAAGGCGACGAUACAUAGCCGACCUGAGAGGGUGAUCGGCCACACUGGGACUGAGACACGGCCCAG